AUUGAACGCUGGCGGCAUGCCUUACACAUGCAAGUCGAACGGUAACGCGGGGCAACCUGGCGACGAGUGGCGAACGGGUGAGUAAUGCAUCGGAACGUACCCAGUAGUGGGGGAUAGCCCGGCGAAAGCCGGAUUAAUACCGCAUACGACCUACGGGUGAAAGGGGGGGAUCGCAAGACCUCUCGCUAUUGGAGCGGCCGAUGUCAGAUUAGGUAGUUGGUGAGGUAACGGCUCACCAAGCCGACGACCGGUAGCUGAUCUGAGAGGAUGACCAGCCACACUGGCACUGAGACACGGGCCAGACUCCUACGGGAGGCAGCAGCGAGGAAUAUUGCGCAAUGGGCGAAAGCCUGACGCAGUAACGCCGCGUGGGGGAAGAAGACCUUCGGGUUGUAAACCUCUUUUUGUAGAGACGAGGGAGGACGGUAUCUAUAGAAUAAGUCUCGGCUAACUACGUGCCAGCAGCCGCGGUAAGACGUAGGAGGCGAGCGUUAUCCGGAAUCACUGGGCGUAAAGCGUGCGCAGGCGGUUUCGUAAGACAGAUGUGAAAUCCCCGGGCUUAACCUGGGAACUGCGUUUGUGACUGCGAGACUUGAGUGCGGCAGAGGGGGGUGGAAUUCCACGUGUAGCAGUGAAAUGCGUAGAGAUGUGGAGGAACACCGAUGGCGAAGGCAGCCCCCUGGGUCGACACUGACGCUCAUGCACGAAAGCGUGGGGGAGCCAACAGGAUUAGAUACCCUGGUAGUCCACGCCCUAACGAUGCGAACUAGGUGUUGGGGAAGGAGACUUCUUUAGUACCGUAGCUAACGCAUUAAGUGCCCCGCCUGGGGAGUACGGCCGCAAGGCUAAAACUCAAAAGAAUUGACGGGGGCUCGCACAAGCGGUGGAGCAUGUGGCUUAAUUCGAUGCAACGCGAAGAACCUUACCGGGGCUUGACAUGGUAGAAGUAGAAUCCUGAAAGGGUGACGAUCGGUAUCCAGUCCGAAGCUAUCACAGGUGUUGCAUGGCUGUCGUCAGCUCGUGUCGUGAGACGUUGGGUUAAGUCCCCUAACGAGCGAAACCCUUGUCUUUAGUUGCUAACGGGUAAUGCUGAGCACUUUAGAGAGACUGCCGUCGUUAAGACGGAGGAAGGUGGGGACGACGUCAAGUCAUCAUGGCCCUUAUGUCCCGGGCUGCACACGUGCUACAAUGGUCGGUACAAAGGGAUGCUAAGUCGCGAGAUGGUGCGAAACCUAUAAAGCCGAUCUCAGUUCAGAUUGGAGGCUGAAACUCGCCUCCAUGAAGUAGGAAUCGCUAGUAAUCGCGGAUCAGCUACGCCGCGGUGAAUAUGUUCCCGAGCCUUGUACACACCGCCCGUCAAGCCACCCAAGCAAGAUGCACCCAAAAUCACCGGCCUAACCUGUAAAGGAAGGAAGUGCUUAAGGUGUGUUUUGUGAGGAGGACUA
rnacentral:rRNA from 1 species